rnacentral:misc_RNA from 1 species
GCUGCCCAAAGUCGCACGUGCCCAUGUGUGUCCGCCGAGUCCUCGAUGUGGUGAGGAUUUAGGUAAGGUACCUGGAACUAACCCCUCCAGUCGCUAUUCCGGCCAACCGGGAAAUGCGAGGACAUACGAAGCAACGACGGUGCGGGCCUUUCUGGUUCUCUGCCGGCUUUCCAUCAGCCGGGGUACUAAAGAGGCACACCAUCAUUGCCUGAAGUGCGGUCGGGUCAUUCCCUCCAAUCAAUGGCAGACAAAGCCGAAUGAUGCUCUGGCAGGGCGUCGUUCACAUUCGCGCCUUGAGCGUAUGCUAUCGA